rnacentral:rRNA from 1 species
UAGGGAAUCUUCGGCAAUGGACGAAAGUCUGACCGAGCAACGCCGCGUGAGUGAAGAAGGUUUUCGGAUCGUAAAACUCUGUUGUUAGAGAAGAACAAGGACGUUAGUAACUGAACGUCCCCUGACGGUAUCUAACCAGAAAGCCACGGCUAACUACGUGCCAGCAGCCGCGGUAAUACGUAGGUGGCAAGCGUUGUCCGGAUUUAUUGGGCGUAAAGCGAGCGCAGGCGGUUUCUUAAGUCUGAUGUGAAAGCCCCCGGCUCAACCGGGGAGGGUCAUUGGAAACUGGGCGACUUGAGUGCAGAAGAGGAGCGUGGAAUUCCAUGUGUAGCGGUGAAAUGCGUAGCUAUAUGAAGGAACACCAGUGGCGAAGGCGGCUCUCUGGUCUGUAACUGACGCUGAGGCUCGACAGCGUGGGGAGCAAACAGG